UGAGAUCGCUGCAGGUUGUUGUUCAAUUUGUCUUUUACAUAUGUAUAACAAUGUUUAAUACGUACAUGAGACUUCUGACUCUUUCUAUUUGUUUUCGUGUUGCCUUAGUGUACAAUCUUUUGAACACGGAUAGGGACAACUUCAAUUUGCACAUCUGGUAUAAUCUAACAUACAACGAAGGCUCAAAUGAUGGGCCUUCAACGUUGCUUCAAGUUCCCGGCUUGGUCAAUCUGGUGACCUCAUGCUGGCUUGAGCAAUCGAAUCAAAUGGAUCCGAUUUGACACAAUACUGUUGUAGGAUCACAAACAGCAAGAUGCAGAAUGGUUAGACAGCAUAGCAAUCGGCUUAUCAAGAGAUACACUAAACAGCAAUUAUCUUACUUACUCUUGGAGAGCAGAGCAUAUUUUUGCAGAAGGGACACCUCAGAAGCUAGCUGAUCGUUUCAACUAUGGUUGAGGCCUUGUGAAUCCAGAUAGAGCUGCAAAACCUGGUUAUUUCUAUGACUUAGCCCUGAAGACUCUGUUCUCCAUAUGUGCUCUUGUGCUUACAACGAGUCAUUCUCUUACUGUUGUCGUUGGGCAUUCAAGUGACCCGUGACGGCAGAGAUGUUAGUGUUUUCUAAAGUAAGAGUCUUAACAUCGAGAUAUGUUACUUAUACUCUUCAAGUGAUUCUUCUCUACAUAAUAACGUCAGGGUUCCUUACUA